UCCUGGAAAGAUCCUUUAUCCGAGAAACAAAACAACUCAGUUUUGCAGAAAAGCUCGAAGCCCCUCCCCGGCCUCCUGUGCAGGAGGUUUUUGCCCAGGCAAGUCCAUGGGUUCCCCAGAAGGGAUGCGAGCCUGGAAGCGCAUCGCCCUCGCCGGCGGGGUGAUCACAGCGGUCCUGGUGGUGACCCUCCUCCUGGUGCUCUGCCUGCCGGCCGCGGCGCAGGGGCUGGCGCGGUGCGGGGGCUGCGUGGGGAACGGCACGCUGGCGGCGGCACGGGGGCCCGGCUGGGACCAGGCGAUGGCGCAGGUGGCCGCGCUGCAGGCGGAGCUGGGCAGCGUCAAACGGUCCCUGGAGGAGACGCGCGGGCGCUGGGACAGCUGCAGGCUGCACCUGGACACCUUGCAGAGGAACGUCACGGCCCUGGAGCAGGCGCUGGCGCUGCUGUGGCGCCAGGGAUCGGAGCAGGGGGCCAGGACGGCCGCGCUGCAAGAGGAGAACAGGGAGCUCAAGGAGGAGUUGGCACAGCAAAGGCAGCAGCUGGAGGACGUGCAGAGGGGCAGGUGANNNNNNNNNNNNNNNNNNNNNNNNNNNNNNNNNNNNNNNNNCAGUCUCCAGUCGCAGAUCUCGAACCUGCUGCAGCAGCUCCAGGCCCUGCAGAGCAGGACCUCGAGCGGCACCCAGCCCCCAGCCUCGAGCCUGGCCGCGCACCUCAGUCUCCUGGCCCUCGCGGGGACGCUCUUCCUUUGAGCCCGAAGCAGCCGGCACGAGGGCCCAGCCGAUCCUCCGUCCCCCGUUGCCCUGAUGUGGGGUGAGGAGGGACCGUCUCCAUCCGGAGGGGCGGCAGCUCAAGGAGUGCCCGGUCCAGGAGCCCCCGUCCCUGCUCAGCCCUGCCUCCAGCUCACCUCAUCCCCCACCGCCUCCAAACCCACCCUGGCCCCAUUCACUGCCAGAGCGUCCCGGGGACACAGCUUGCUUCCAGCUGCAAACCGCUGGCCAGCUGUGCCAUGCCCGGGCCAGGCAGGGGCCUCGGACUCGCCACGGUUUGAUAGUAUUUAACCUAAUAAAAACUUGUGAAAAGCCA
rnacentral:lncRNA from 1 species